ACUUUCAUGUGUCGAUAAUCAAGUUUAAUACCGAUAAUAUUGAAAAUAAUUCUAAUAAUAUGAAACAAAAAGUUUGGUAUUUACAUGCACAGAAAUUUUGAAGAUAUGAAUACUUGUUAAAUGUUUGGAAUAAUUCAUUGCAUUGUAUAUCGAGUACUACUAAUUCAAUUUAGACGCUGUAUUUCUAAAGAAAAAUGUGCUCUAUAGCUGACAAAGAAGUGUGAACAUUUUGCAUUGAUACAAAAUGGUGUAAAUUAAUGAAACAACUAAUUAAAUAGGAACCAAAUUUUGAUAGAAUCUUGAUCGUUUCCAGUGAGUUCUUGAAAAUGUUUGGUCACCACGCUGAAAUAACACACAUCUUCUAAGGCACGAAACAGUUUGAUUUUCAGGAGGGGAAAA
rnacentral:lncRNA from 1 species